AAAAGGGAUCGAUUGGGCCACGUUUAAGGCAGCUAGCGACCAAACCCUAUCCUCUCAGCCGCCGUCCCUGUCCCUGCUCUCUCCGUGGGUCGCCUCCUCCACCCAGCCGUCCGGCCGUCGAGCUCCGCCUCCUCCCAGUCGAGCUGCACCUCAUCCCCGUCGCCGCCUCACGCCGCUUCUCACGCUCGAUGGUGGGAAGGAGGAUCGCGUGCAGGAAACUCCGCGCCGCCGUGUGAGUCGCUGAGAUCGACGCCGCCCUCUUCAUGGCGUAACGGUCGCCGCACGAGGGCACAGAGAGCCAACGCUGACGGUGGAAAGGAGGAGCAGAUGCGGGGAAAUGGCAGGUCGCUGUGUGGGUGUCUUAGAUCGACACCCCUCUUCAUCGUGCGACGAUGGUGGUUGGAGCUCCGCCGCCUCCAGCUCCGGCUCAACUUCGUCGCGCACGGAAGCCAUACAAGUUCUGCCUCCUCGGACCUCACCACUCGCUUGAGGGGUCGAUUUUGUCCUUCUUGACUACAGAAAUUUGGAGUUAGCAGCUAACGUUGGGCUGAAUGAGGAAAUUCAUUGCCAUCCUCUCUCGGUCUCCUUCUUUCUAUAGUCAGUUGAGCAUGGAGGAGCAUGGAGAUGGCUAUGUUGACAACAAAAAUCAUGCAGGACAUGUAUUUUUAUUAUUAAGUGAAUGUUGUGAAUGGUGACAUAAGAAAAGGAUGAUGCUGCCGCCAAGACAUGUGGUCAGAGGACCACAACAAGUUGUCCGCACCCUGCUCGCCAUCGUCCUCCGCCUCUGGGGCGUUCUGACUUGAGAUGGAUAAAUCCAUGGCAAAGCCAUCCCAGCGCCACAAGCAGAAUGACAAGAGGAUUAGUGAUCUUAGACCGUCAUUUUAUCCAUGCCACGCAUCUUUAAGCGAUUUCGGUCACAGAGUACUCGAAGCCAAGAUCCGAUGCGGAUAUUUGUGGUGGCCUGAAGAUUCCCGUUGCAAGAAAAACCACAUCCUGUGGAAGUAAAGAACCUGAUGAAAUCACUAUUUCAAUUCUUUUAGUAGCCUUUCAUAGUUUUAAGAAACUCUUCCAGUUGGAAAAGCAGAUGUUAAGUAAAUGAACUGGGACAGUUUUUUAUAGCAAAUAAUAUGGGACCAAAUGCCAGAUUUUACAGUACAAGUCAACCAAUUUAAUAAGUAUGCAGCUCAAAACUUAAUAACUGUUGCUUUUGUAUCUUCUGUCAUCCUCCAUUGUGCAUGCCAGAUAUUCUCUUUUGUUAUUUUUAUCAGACGGUUCUAUUGUAUUGUGCAUGCCAGAUUAUUUGUUAUGUAUAGCCGAGGUGAUGAGAAAAAAAUCCAAGUAGGAUGCAUGGGAAAUGAAUUUAUUUGUGUGCUUUGUUGUCUACAUAGCUUUGUUGUCUACAUGCUAAUUCGUUUAUUUCUGAAAUUUAGCUCUGUUUUGUGACCUGUCCGUGCAUGGUAUCAUCGAUGAAAUAUAUGAGUAAACUCUAGGGAAAAUAUGUUUGUGUUUGACUGUUUUAAAGCUCAUGUUUCUGUUAAUUUUGUGAACAUUCAGACUUUUGUCCGAUGUUAUAUCUGAAUGUGUUUAUUUCAUAAGGUCUUCCUAUUUCUGAAAUCAUUUGUAAGAUUUAAAGUCAGUGGUCUAAUUUCAUAUAUAUUUAUUGAAGAGAGACAAGUAAACGGGGCCAAGCUUGGAGCAUUUCUCGGAUGGCUUCAAAAAGUGGUGAUUUUAAAUCCCUUCAAAAAGUGGUGAUUUUAAAGCAUAAGCUUUAAUUUUCAUCUCAUGCACUCAAACUGUGUUUGGUUCUCUCAUAGUUGUCAAAGCAUAUGGGGGGUGUGGUUAUAUAUAUAAGAAAUUGAUAGCAUAGUUUAUAGUUUUUUGCUUCUAUUGUUUGUUCUUUUUAUUUAAGGUAAUCUCUCCAUUUCCUCUCCUUGUUCUCUCAUGCUAGGUCUCCUAGGUCAGAGCUACGGUGCAGGAGCUCAGGUUUCGGUGGAGAGAUGAUACAGUGAUGAGAAGAUGUGCCCAGCAGCUAGCUAUAGUGGAGAAUUGAUUCAUUCGAUCCCCUCACCCCUGGCCUUCUACAGAGAAGAGACUCGUGUACGAAGUCGGUGCCCUACCGACAAAGGUGGUACAACUCUCACCAGAUGACCUCAGAGACGAGAGCUUAAUAACAUACUGGAAGACAUGACGCUACAAGCACACAAAUAAGGUAACCUGGUGCAAGCUGUGAUUCCAUGACCCAUCCCCGCGGUGACCCUGUUCCUGGAAUUGGCAAGGUGUUUUUGAAGUAUGCAGAUGCCAAGAGCUCGGCCAGGGCAACAACAGUUGCACAUGAGGAGAUCCGACAGGAAAAAGACGGUUGCCGUGUUCGCCGACGAAUAGAUUAAAAGAAAUCUUGCAUAUUUGUUCUUUUUAGACUUUGAAUACAUUUAGCAGUAAGUUUUCAUGAAAUGUACUUAAAUCUCAUGUUAUUCUAAUAGUGGUCCAUACGGGAUUGCAUUCCGAAAUUAUCAGAAAACAAAUCUUUAAAACCAAACCGUAGUGAGUUUAUGUAGAUGUUUUUUUGGUCUUGUGCGGUAGAUUAUGUGUAUUAGCCUAAGUAGGAGCUAUCGGGGUAAACCAAGGACAUGAGAUUCUAACCAUCUGCCUAUGAAGGGAUUUCUUGAUAUGUCAUAACUAAAUUAACCCUUCUAUUUUUCUCUUUACUUUUGCCAUUUUUUGCUUCACUGCAAAUUCCUUUACCGUAUAAUCUUGUAUCAUCAUUCACUUCUUCCUAUAUCUUUUACAUCUAAAAGACAGUAUGUGGGAUUGCAACUAAUUUGAUAUGCGUUGGUGUUUCAACUUGAUAUUUUCCUCAGUGGACUUGUUAUUGGUCAUCGGACGGAGCUAACAAAGAAGUAUAGUAUUCCCUGCUUGGUGUUGGUUCAUUUUAUUUAUAAGAAUAACUAUAUAUAUGAUUCCUGUAGGCACUUUUUGAUAUCUCAUGAUUUUGUUCCUGGUGAUGAUGAAUUACUAGAAAUAUAAUAAGUUGUUUAUGUUAAUAGUUGGCACUUACUUGCUUUGUGAUCUUUGAAAACUUUUUUGCCAGAAAUGAUGCCGCUUUUGUUGGUAUGCUAGAUUUUAGAUUUUUAUUUUGUUUUAUCAAAUGAUAUCAUCGGAAAUUCAGAUAAUGAUGGUAAGGUUUCAAGUAAUACACGUUAUACUUAUUAUCAUUAGAAAUUGACAUCCUGAUGUUGCUCGUGUAACUGGGCAUUGAGAUCUUUAUGAUAUUUUGUCACUUCAAGUUGAUGUCCAUGACCAGAACUAUAUUACUCCCUCCGAUUCAUAUUACUUGGCACUAAUAUAGAUGUAUCUAGACACAUUUUAAUCGUAGGUACAUCCAUUUUAGUGGCAAGUAAUAUGAAUCAGAGGGGGUAGUAAAAGCUAGGCCUAUUUCUUAUAUAUGUUUUAUGUGUGUAAAAAUAUGAGUCGGAAGGAGUAGUAAAAACUAGGCCUAUUUCUUAUAUAUGUUUUAUGUGUGUAAAUGCCCCCUCAGUUCUUGUUUGUUCUGCAUACAUUUGUCUUGAUAUUGGUCAACGAACUAUUCAUGUGAUGUUUGUUUGUUCAGGUGUACAUCUGUUGUGAGCAGUUAGUUCAGGUCACUAUACUUUAAAAAUUAGUUCAGGCUAUUGCCUUUAAAAAGAUUAACAGAUCCCACUCCAGGCCAUUUCCUUUAAAAAAAUCAUUAGAUUGCCUACUUUGACUUUCCAUAAUAUAUGCUCCUCCUUUUACGAUUAGACAAUAAUACUUGAAUUAUUAGGCAUUCUUGAUGUAUCCUUUCUUUUGGCCUGUACUGUGUCCUGUUGUUAUGAGUUAUGACUAUUACUUCUGCUAUGUUAGGAGUGGAUAUUAGAGCAGUGUGUAGAGGGAGUCUGAACUUGCUAUCCAGAGGAAUGAAGUAGACACUUGUUUUUUUAUUGUGCCAUUAUAUCUACAACAUAGGUCUAUAUUAGCUAUAGUGAGUAUUAAUGCCACUUCAUACUUUAGACAUUUACAGUCAGAAGCUUCAGCAGCUGUCGGACAAUCGAGAAAGGAUGAAACAAAAGCUUUUGUGGCAUUCCAAGUGUGUCUCUGCAUUCAUCAAGUAGUUGUGAUGCUGCUCAUGCUGACAUAUGAAGCCAGUUGUUUGCAAAGGUUGUCAAUGAAGCGAUUGUAUCCGUUGAUGGAUAUGAGAGGCAGUUAGGAAAGCAGCACAAAGUCUAAAUUUGAAAAAGGAGACUGCUAUGACCAUCUUCUGUAAAGCAUGCCUCUUCCCUAAAAAAAAGAUGUUGAAGUUCAACAAUAUUCACUUGUGCUCAUUUUCCAUGCCGAUACAACAUGAAUACUGAGUUUAGGGAGGAUUGGGAGAAACCGAGUAACUCUGGCGAAAAUUCAGAGUCUUUUAUUUUUUUCAACCGGAACAUUAUCUGGAAGGCAGUCUGCAAUCGAAACAAUUCAUGUGGCACCUUGCUCAUAACAGCGCCUCCCCCAUUGCUAGAAUAUUCUUAGGAGAGGCAUUGAGAUUAAUCCUUUAUGCCCCAUGUGCUCCAGAUUUAAUGAAGACGGUGGCCAUCUCUUUCUCGAGUGCAAGCCUGUGUGUGCAUUAUGGAAGAAUCUGAACCCAUCAGAGCUAAGCUGCCGUCUUGUCUUGAUGCCAAAUAUGUUAUUGCACAGAUUCUUUCUGCCAAUGAAUAGGAGAAGAUGAGAUGUGUUGCCCUGCUUACGGUCUGGUGGCAAGUGAGGAACAAAUGCACUGCCGGUGAAUCCACGUCCUCCUUGGAUUCAGUCUGUCAUUAAGUUCUGUCUCUGACUGCUGAGUUUGAACAACACUGCAGCAAACAAAGGAAGAAAGAGCAACCUGCUAUGGAGAUCAAGUGGAAGCCACCGGUGCACAAUGUUCUGAAGAUUAAUAUUGAUGGGAGCAUAUGGACCAGGCCAGUGCGUCUGGUGGCUCGGUCUGGGUGUUUAGAGGUGAGCUGGGGUUUGUGGCCUCUUCAGGUGCUGGCCAUAUGGAGCAUGUGCAGGUCGCUCUCCAUACUGAAGCAGAGGCCUGCCUACAAUCACUAUUUCAGGCUCAAAUCUGGUGGUAUUUCUCGCGUUCCAAAUUGACUCACAACUUGUGGUGCAAGUGAUAAGGGAAGUGAGCAAGACUUGGCUCGGAACGGUGCUAUUUUUAGGGAGAUUAAAUUUCAGAUUUCAUUGAACUUCUCUGUUCUCAGUAUUUCUAUUGCCUUUAGGCCUGUAAUCAAGUGGUGGACGCUAUGGCGUCCCAUGGCGCGAGAUUAGGGAUCAGGAGACAGUAGACGUGUAGGGACUGCAGGAAAGCCACUGACUCAUACAAGACAUAUGAUAUGUUGUGUUCUUUUGCUCCUCUUCGCCGACUAAUAAUUUUUGAAACGGAUAAUUAUUCAAAUUUUAUUUAAUA